rnacentral:rRNA from 1 species
CCUACGGGAGACAGCAGUGGGGAAUAUUGCACAAUGGGGGAAACCCUGCUGCAGCGACGCCGCGUGAAGGAAGAAGUAUUUCGGUAUGUAAACUUCUAUCAGCAGGGAAGAAAAUGACGGUACCUGACUAAGAAGCCCCGGCUAACUACGUGCCAGCAGCCGCGGUAAGACGUAGGGGGCAAGCGUUAUCCGGAGUUACUGGGUGUCAAGGGAGCGUAGGCGGCGGUGCAAGUCAGAAGUGAAAGCCCGGGGCUCAACUCCGGGACUGCUUUUGAAACUGUGUUGCUAGAUUGCAGGAGAGGUAAGUGGAAUUCCUAGUGUAGCGGUGAAAUGCGUAGAUAUUAGGAGGAACACCAGUGGCGAAGGCGGCUUACUGGACUGUAAAUGACGCUGAGGCUCGAAAGCGUGGGGAGCAAACAGGAUUAGAUACCCUUGUAGUC